CAAUAGCGUAUAUUAAAGUUGUUGCGGUUAAAAAGCUCGUAGUUGGAUUUCUGCCGAGGACGACCGGUCCGCCCUCUGGGUGAGUAUCUGGCUCGGCCUGGGCAUCUUCUUGGAGAACGUAGCUGCACUUGACUGUGUGGUGCGGUAUCCAGGACUUUUACUUUGAGGAAAUUAGAGUGUUUCAAGCAGGCUUACGCCUUGAAUACAUUAGCAUGGAAUAAUAAGAUAGGACCUCGGUUCUAUUUUGUUGGUUUCUAGAGCUGAGGUAAUGAUUAAUAGGGAUAGUUGGGGGCAUUCGUAUUUAACUGUCAGAGGUGAAAUUCUUGGAUUUGUUAAAGACGGACUACUGCGAAGGCAUUUGCCAAGGAUGUUUUCAUUG
rnacentral:rRNA from 1 species